rnacentral:sRNA from 1 species
CUCUUCUCUCCCGCUUCCCUCGCUGUGAAGAUGGCGCUCUCCAGGGUGUGCUGGGCUCGGUCGGCUGUGUGGGGCUCGGCAGUCACCCCUGGACAUUUCGUCACCCGGAGGCUGCAACUUGGUCGCUCUGGCCUGGCUUGGGGGGCCCCUCGGUCUUCAAAGCUUCACCUUUCUCCAAAGGCAGAUGUGAAGAACUUGAUGUCUUAUGUGGUAACCAAGACAAAAGCGAUUAAUGGGAAAUACCAUCGUUUCUUGGGUCGUCAUUUCCCCCGCUUCUAUGUUCUGUACACAAUCUUCAUGAAAGGUAAAAACGAAACUAUAAUAGAAAUUCCGGAAUCAGCUCUUGGGCAGGGUCAAAGAGUUAGCAUAAAUAAGAUCAUUUGCAGGUUCUGCUAUGGGGAUGUGAGCCGAGAUAUAUUUCAUAAAUGCCUGCGCCUUAAACUAAUUCUUAUAAAUUAGCACUUCUUGAGAAUGUUUCUAGAAAGAUGUUAUGAGAAACAACUUAUGACAGCAACAUGAGGGAGGGAGAAUAUAGGUAUGUUCU